rnacentral:lncRNA from 10 species
GUAGCUUAACAAUCUUGACCCCAGGAGUGAAGCCAGCCUUAUAAUGAUGUUGAAAUUGGCACAAAGGAAGGCAGAGUAGAGAGACAGAAGAAAGCUACUUGCUUAGAGAGACCACUGAGCUACUGAAUGAAACAUACUGAAGACCUUCCACUUUAUGAGGUCAUAAAUAAGUCCUCUUUGUUGUUUGAGUCACUUUGAGAGGACUAUUCCUAAAAGCCAAAUUUAACAACACAUCCAGCCUCAGACUCAGGUCCCUGGACUUUGGGACUCAUUCUGCUCGACUUGAUCCCUGCUCUGCCCAUUGAUCACAUACACACGUUUACACCUGGCAGAAGAGGAAGAGGAGGCAUGAAGGAAUGGCCUCUUCAGAAUGGAGAAAAGCCUUCCCCAUGAGAACAUGCCUAAGACAGACUGCUGAAGAAGGCGGCAAAUGGAACAGCGCUGAAUCAGCCUGGUCAUCCCAGUCAAGCCUCCAGACAUGUAAGCACCCUCCUCUGAUCUGCAGAGCUGCCUGGCCCAAAUACUGUUGACCACUCUUGAGUAAGCCCCACCAAGAUCAGCUGAGAACAGUAGAACUGACCAGAUGACUCUAACCUCAUGAAUAAAUCCAAGUGUUUUUUUAUUU